ACGGCCAUAGCUCAGUGGUGGAUUGUCUGCCUUGCAAGCAGAAAGUCACAGGUUCAAUCCCUGGAAACUCUGGUUAGG